rnacentral:lncRNA from 1 species
GAAUAAUCACAUAAAAAUAAAGGACACAAGAAUUACGUGGUUCGGCAAUAUGCCGACGUCCACAUGAGCAAUAGAAAAAUAAUUGUAUUAUUAACAAUUAUUUGAGUAUAAAUUUGAGCAAAGAAACCUCAUUUUUCCAGAACCCAAAUACACUCAAUAUUCUCACCACACUCUCAGAACUCUCAAAAGCUUAGAAACUUAU